UUUUUAUUUUUCGUUUACUUUUUUCUUUAUUAUCAGAUUUGACAAUGCCACGCGUUUUUCUCAUUUCAGCUGGCAACGUUUUUGACAGCUUUUUUUUUUAAAAAUUAAUCGGGAUGUUGCAUUAAUUGGCAAUAUAUCGCGCCGGUUUUUAGAGCUGGCAGCUCUAUCAAACAGUUUUUUCUCCAUUGCAAAAGACUAUUUAAAUUUGUUUUUGCCAAUGUUCGAUUCAACGAUUAGUUGGGAGGCUGCAUGCCUUUGCGGUAUAUGGCAACAAAAUGUCAGAUCUGGCAACUCCUUUACCAAAAAAUGCCUUGACGUUUCCUUUGAUUUUUUAAUUCAAUAAUUAUCGAAGAUGCUGACUAUUAUUUUUUUGAUUUAACAACAAGUAGCUGGACAAGGUUGAUUAUCUAGUUAUAAAUUGUUCCAGUCUGCAGAUCUGGCAAUGCAUUUUUAACUCGGCUGGCAACUCCUUUUGCGGCUCCUAUUUAUUUUUAUUUUGCCAAUUUAACCUCGGAUAUUGGAAUAGUUUUUGCAUGGUUUUGCCUUGGUGCCAAUGUCUGUGCUUUAAUUUUGUUUUUCUUUAAUUUUCAACUAAUUUAUAUCGAAUAUUUCGGGCACAUAUAUAUGCAUGUGUAUACGUACAUAAAUUGAACCCUGGCGUGAGCCUGCGACAGCUCCUGGAAUUCGCAUGCGUGCAGAGCCGCAGCAGGAAAUACAAAAUACAACAAAAAUAAAAAUAAAAUACAAUUGUAAUUAUGCGCGCGCCCAAAAAGUGGGCGUUGCACAGUAGUCCCUGGCUGCCAACGCCAUCAACCGAGCGCGACAGACGCAGACGCAGACGGACUGCGACUGGCGGCAGUGAAAGUCGGGCCAAGGUGUCCAGCGCCUGCCGCCAGCACCGUGGCGCAAGUUGCGGUCAAAGUUAGUUAAAGAUUAUGUAAGAGUUUAGCUAAAUGCAAUUGUUUUGCAGGAAUGGGAGCGUGAGCGGCAAGUAUGAGCAAGAUUAGAGAGAGAAAUCAAAGAAUUCCAUCCAUAAUGCUGGAAAAUUGGUGGAAAAACAAUUAUUUAUUUUACCAACCAAUCGGAUAUGGGCAUAAUUUUGAGAACAUCUUGGUUAAUUUGUGUAUUCAUAAUGUUCAGAUAGUUUUCAUUAUAAGUUGGCGAAAACGAUUUCACAAAUCCACCAGAAUACGUGAGAAAAUAGGUGGGAAAACUUGUGUGCACCACGAUGAUUGUGACAAGCCUUCACGUGAUAUCAUAACUUUGCGUAUUGCCAUAUAGAUCUAUAACAUUAAUGCACCACUGUGCGACCGUGUCGCAUGAUGAAUGUUCGUUCAGCUUGGACUUUGGGACAGUAUUUGGUGCUUUUCUCACGCUGUGUGUGUUUGAGGCGUCGUCUCGUAUGUUAAACUGUCGCUCGCAGCAACAACUGCAAUUAAACAAAUUGCGAGCCACUGGAAUAAGCCACAUCAGGCAGCAGCAGCAGCAGCAGUUGCAGAUGAAUUCCGAGCAAAAGUUCUUUAAGCGAAAAAGUAUUCAGAAUUAUUUAAUUGUUGGCGAAACGACUUAAUUAUUUUGGCAGCCGGCCCCAGAACGUAACUACAACUAACUGCAGGCGGCGUUCCAAGCAUUAUUAUAUAUAGCUGCCAGACAUGCCAGAGAGAUGGAUUUCAUGCAUAUAUUUAUAUAAUAUAUAUAUAUAUAUAAAUGUAUGUGUGCAUCGGAUUUCAGUUGGCAGCAUUCAGAUUUUCGCCUUGGGGCCUGCCUGGGCUCUUGGGCCACAAAUAAUUCUGACUUUUGCUGCAAGCUGAUGUUUAUCGCCUUCUGCGACUCGUGUCGACGGCUCAGGUUACACACACACACACACACACACACGCACACACACAUAGCACACACGCUCUUAUUUUGCAUGUCAACAAAUCCUAACAUAUCCUGGGCAGAAGCCGCCACAGCAGCCGCCCAAAGCCAACUCAUUGUGUGUGCGUGUUGCGUGUUUUUCCCAUUUCCCUGGAAAAAUUUCUCCAGCAUAAUAGGAAUUGUAUUUGAAAUUUUGCCGACAGCAGCAGCCGCAGCCGCAGCAGCAGCAGCACACACACAAAUCUCACGCCUAACAAGGCUCUUAAGCCGCAUUUAGUUGCGGCUAAGCCACAGGAUCUGCAGGACUCUCUCACUCUCGCUCGCUCGCUCGCUCGUGUCUCGCUCCUGCUCUUAAUCUAAGCGGCAAAUCUUUAAGAACAUUUUGCAUAAUUUGCGGCUGUCGUAAUACAAAUCCCAUUUGGCCCGCCACCAACACAACACAACACAACACACAGUAGCUCACAAUUAUGACAUUCGUGCAAGAUCAUGAUAAUGUUGUGUUCCUUGCGGCCAGAUCUUAACUCAUAAUAGCCAAAACCUGUAAGCAGCAUGUAAUACCCGCCGCGCAGUAAGGAAACCAAACGGAGAAUUAUUUCAUCUAGUUUCUGUUUUGAUUGUGUUCCUCCCUAAUGCAAUUGUCCCUUAGAUCGUCCAGAUCUUUCGAGAUGCAACUGAUGUCUUGGUCUUCUUCUGUUCAGCUCCUAUGCUGAUCUGAUCUUUUAUCAAACCAAUACUAGGAGCAAGACCCUUGAAGAUAAGCAGUUUAUAUGCAAAGCUUUUCAUCAGCUCCUAUUAUAGUUGGCUUCGGAGUUCGCUGGAUCUAAUCACUAUAUGAUAUAGUUGUCAUGGACUUGGCGUUUUACAAACAUCAAGACAUCAAGACAUGAAGGAAGCAGGAAGGUACAACAUCAAUAAAAUUGGCUACAGACUCUGGAUUUGAAAGACUUUGUCCCUAGGCCAAAGCUAUAACCACUUGGGAAUUAUAAGCCACAGAAAAAGAUGAUGAAGCUAAUGUUUACUCUCUGUUAACUAUGUUAAAUCCUAUUGUAACUCAUUAAAUAUUUGCAAAACAUGGAAAUUAUUUGUUUAAACAAGGUCCUUAUAUAUGAAAAAAAUCCCAUCAAUAAAGGACUGCUGUAUCAUAUAGUUGUAUCGUAAGAAUCGCUUU